rnacentral:tmRNA from 1 species
GGGGCUGAUUCUGGAUUCGACGGGAUUUGCGAAACCCAAGGUGCAUGCCGAGGGGCGGUUGGCCUCGUAAAAAGCCGCAAAAAAUAGUCGCAAACGACGAAAACUACGCUUUAGCAGCUUAAUAACCUGCUUAGAGCCCUCUCUCCCUAGCCUCCGCUCUUAGGACGGGGAUCAAGAGAGGUCAAACCCAAAAGAGAUCGCGUGGAAGCCCUGCCUGGGGUUGAAGCGUUAAAACUUAAUCAGGCUAGUUUGUUAGUGGCGUGUCCGUCCGUAGCUGGCAAGCGAAUGUAAAGACUGACUAAGCAUGUAGUACCGAGGAUGUAGGAAUUUCGGACGCGGGUUCAACUCCCGCCAGCUCCACCA